ACAAUAUAACGAAACAAAUAUGAUUAUCCCUAUGACGUGGGCUUGUUUAGUAGACUUGGACUUCAUUGUUACAAUCUUGAGAAGGGAACAAGCCUCAAAUUGGCUGCUAUAAACAAAUACAACGAUAAGCUGAGGUUUACUCGGUGCCUCUGUUACCACAUAACGUUGGAGGCCAUUGACACAUCCAA